GUUGCUGUGUGCAGACGAAUCGCUUUUAAAAACGUUAAUCUGAUGAUCCGCUGAUACGGUCUAAUGUAAACAUGGGCUAAGUGUUCAAAAUAAGAGGAACAUGUAUUUGUCUCUUAAAUCCAGGCCGUUCCCUGUAAUCUCAAACAGCGGUUGGAGAAAGUAAUGGCAAAUAGCGAGUGCACAAACCAUAGAAGGGAAACUGUACACAGCGCCAGGGCAGUGUGAUGCGGGGGCGUGGUCAAGCACCGGUCUGUGACAGGAGGGCGGAGUCGGGGAAGGUAAGUGGCAGAUUCACUUCACCUGAGAGCAAUUAACCUGUGUUUGUGUGUCUUCCCAGGGACCGCGCCCUAUUUAGGGAGGGAGAGCGAGAGCAGAGGAGAUCUCUCCCGAACCAGACACCUGAUGUGUGUGUGUCUGCGUUAAACCUAUUGUGUUCCCUGAAAAGUGAAACAAUAAAACUGUUUGUUGAACCUGA